UGUUUGGAGUCUUCGGUGAGCACUGGGUGUCCAACAUAAACACCUGCAAAGGUAUGCAAAGGUUCAGUUCGGAGCUCCAUCAUCCUCAACAUGGCUCUGCCAGGGACUGGCUGGAUGGCUCUGGGAACACCAGGGGAAAGUAUAUAGAAUAUGCUGUCUGCUCAGGAGAAUACAACCAACUUUUCUGCCUUCUGACAUUUGCCAGAAGAAAAAAGUCAUUGGUACAUGGUGAUCCCUGCAUGUGAGUUCAAGAGAGGCUGCCUUCCAGGAGGAGGAGGGCGGCAUCCAGAUGCCCCACCUGACAGGCAUGAGGGGACAACGGGAGACGGGAACCCGCUCUGGCUCUCUCUGCCAGCAGU